UCCGGCUAGCUCAGUCGGUAGAGCAUGAGACUCUUAAUCUCAGGGUCNUGGGUUCGAGCCUGUAGUAGGAU
rnacentral:tRNA from 1 species